CAGUCGCCGCGGGAAUACGAAGGGUGCAAGCGUUAAUCGGAAUUACUGGGCGUAAAGCGCGCGUAGGUGGUUUGGUAAGAUGGAUGUGAAAUCCCCGGGCUCAACCUGGGAACUGCAUCCAUAACUGCCUGACUAGAGUACGGUAGAGGGUGGUGGAAUUUCCUGUGUAGCGGUGAAAUGCGUAGAUAUAGGAAGGAACACCAGUGGCGAAGGCGACCACCUGGACUGAUACUGACACUGAGGUGCGAAAGCGUGGAAAGCAAACAGGAUUAGAUACCCCCGUAGUCCCUGUCUCUUAUAC
rnacentral:rRNA from 1 species